UAGAACAGAUGUCAAGUCCAUAUCCUACUU
rnacentral:piRNA from 1 species